CCUACGGGAGGCAGCAGUGAGGAAUAUUGGUCAAUGGGCGUAAGCCUGAACCAGCCAAGUCGCGUGAGGGAUGAAGGUUCUAUGGAUCGUAAACCUCUUUUAUAAGGGAAUAAAGUGUGGGACGUGUCCUGUUUUGUAUGUACCUUAUGAAUAAGGAUCGGCUAACUCCGUGCCAGCAGCCGCGGUAAUACGGAGGAUCCGAGCGUUAUCCGGUUUUAUUGGGUUUAAAGGGUGCGUAGGCGGCCUUUUAAGUCAGCGGUGAAAGUCUGUGGCUCAACCCUAGAAUUGCCGUUGAAACUGGGAGGCUUGAGUAUGUUUGAGGAAGGCGGAAUGCGUGGUGUAGCGGUGAAAUGCUUAGAUAUCACGCAGAACCCCGAUUGCGAAGGCAGCCUGCCAAGCCAUGACUGACGCUGAUGCACGAAAGCGUGGGGAUCAAACAGGAUUAGAUACCCCAGUAGUC
rnacentral:rRNA from 1 species